rnacentral:rRNA from 1 species
UGGGGAAUCUUAGACAAUGGGGGCAACCCUGAUCUAGCCAUGCCGCGUGAGUGAUGAAGGCCUUAGGGUUGUAAAGCUCUUUCAGCUGGGAAGAUAAUGACGGUAUCAGCAGAAGAAGCCCCGGCUAACUCCGUGCCAGCAGCCGCGGUAAUACGGAGGGGGCUAGCGUUGUUCGGAAUUACUGGGCGUAAAGCGCACGUAGGCGGACUGGAAAGUCAGAGGUGAAAUCCCAGGGCUCAACCUUGGAACUGCCUUUGAAACUAUCAGUCUGGAGUUCGAGAGAGGUGAGUGGAAUUCCGAGUGUAGAGGUGAAAUUCGUAGAUAUUCGGAGGAACACCAGUGGCGAAGGCGGCUCACUGGCUCGAUACUGACGCUGAGGUGCGAAAAGCGUGGGGAGCAAAACAGGAUUAGAUACCCUGGUAGUCCACGCCGUAAAACGAUGAAUGCCAGACGUCGGCAAGCAUGCUUGUCGGUGUCACACCUAACGGAUUAAAGCAUUCCGCCUGGGGGAGUACGGUCGC